AACGAACGCUGGCGGCAUGCCUAACACAUGCAAGUCGAACGAGACCUUCGGGUCUAGUGGCGCACGGGUGCGUAACGCGUGGGAAUCUGCCCUUGGGUUCGGAAUAACAGUUGGAAACGACUGCUAAUACCGGAUGAUGACGUAAGUCCAAAGAUUUAUCGCCCCAGGAUGAGCCCGCGUAGGAUUAGCUAGUUGGUGAGGUAAAGGCUCACCAAGGCGACGAUCCUUAGCUGGUCUGAGAGGAUGAUCAGCCACACUGGGACUGAGACACGGCCCAGACUCGUACGGGAGGCAGCAGUGGGGAAUAUUGGACAAUGGGCGAAAGCCUGAUCCAGCAAUGCCGCGGGAGUGAUGAAGGCCUUAGGGUUGUAAAGCUCUUUUACCCGGGAUGAUAAUGACAGUACCGGGAGAAUAAGCUCCGGCUAACUCCGUG
rnacentral:rRNA from 1 species